rnacentral:lncRNA from 1 species
UAAGAGCUACCCACGCCACCCCGCGCUGCCACCUUGCUCCUCCCGGUCGACCUCCCGGAUCCGGCGCUCCUGUACAGAGCAGUGCCACCACGCACCACACUAGUCAGCAUUAGCGCCCCUCUUCCUCCAUGUUGUUGCUGCCCUCUUCCUCCAUGUUGCUGCUGCCUUCGAAUCUGCCCCCGCACUCCAUAGCCUCCGCAUUGAGCUGCCCUCUCCUUCAACUGGUAGUGCACACAAGCUGUUUGUGUAUAUGCCUCAAACAAAAAGUGUGUUUUCUUUGUAAGAUUCUACCUUGGCUCAGUGCAUUCUCUCUCUUUGUUUACAGGAGAAGUUCAUAUACAGCGACAACAACAAAGUUCAUGUUGUAAGAAAAAUGAAGUCCAUGCAUAUGGAAGAUGAUGAUUGUUGUGUGUAUGUAGGGGAACACAAAAACACUUGUGGCUGACAAAUUUUUCUGGUUUAUGCACUUCCUAGUGUUUAGAUGUUACUCCCCUAAAAAUGAAAAUAUUAGAUCGCUGUUUAUUACUUUUGGUUUCUUGUAGCUGAUCAGCUGAGUGAAGCAUCUCAGAAGUUACUUUUAGUGUAUACUUUCAAGCAAAGCAUGAUAAGUUCCAUUAGUUACUCCUUGUUGGAAUGCUUAGAUAUACGUGGUUGGAUGUUCUGAAUUCUGAUUGUUAUCGGCCUACUUGUUCGCCAAGUACUGAUCUCCUUCAUUUCUUGUACCCAUUUUGCAGUUCAUGGACAAAUCAAUGCAGCGUCAUGGACUCAUCUUCUAUAGCACAUAAGUAGGCGUGCAUGCCAGAUUGGUUCCUUCCACUACCUAGCUGAUGUUGUUUGUACCCAGACUACCCACAGUGCCUGAUGAAGCUUCAAGACCGCAAAUAGACAAGCCCAUGGAGAAACAACAUCCUUGUGUAUCUUGAGCUGCUGCAUCACUUGAUGGAACGAGAUAUGGUGUCGGGAACACAGCAGGAUUAGCAAGUAAUUUCGAGAGUAAUCUUGAUGCACCCUGGGCUCAGUUUGUGCCGCGAUAAAUUGUUUUCAACAUGUAAUACAUUUUUUCGCCGCAUGCCAGGUGAGAUGGCGAACUGGGUGUGCUUUCUGUGUUUGCGUUGUGUGGGACCGUCGGAGAGUGAUUUUUCUUCAGAAGGUUCAGAAUUCUAUUGGGUUAAGGCGAACUCAGCUUAUCGUACAGUCUUGUUCAAACCGUGAUUUUUCUUCAGAAGGUUCAGAGUUCUAUUGGGUUAGAAACAUGUACAAUUUGUCAGGUUGUUUCAGGUCGUCUAAAUCUGGAGUUCUAGACUGUAUGAUCUACUGGGUUGCCUGCGCCGGUCGUCGAAGCCUACCGAGGUGGUGCCCCACUGCUGCCAGCGUCUCACUGCACCCCUCCUCCACACCACAAGGACGACCAAGAUAUCAGGUUGUUGUUGU